rnacentral:tRNA from 1 species
GGACGAUUAGCUCAGCUGGUUAGAGCGUCUCGUUUACACCGAGAAGGUCGUAGGUUCGAAUCCCACAUCGUCCA